UUUUUUUUAUAGUUAUUAUUAUUAUUAUUAUUAUUAAUUUUUUUUUAAAAAAAUAUCAUCUUAAUGGCCUUGUGGAGUUUUGAACUUGCAAAUAUCAUCUUUCUUAAUCAUUGUAGGUCCUGGCACAUGCUUGAUGCUUACUGUAGCAUAUCAUUUUUUUUUUUUAAUCUAAUUAUGCUGCAGGCCACCAUAGCCUUCUGGCUCUCAUGACCAGUCCCAAGCUGGAGUUCUAGUGGUCAUGUGACUCAAAACUUGUAGGGUAUGCCAAGAAAACUUGUUUGUCAACAUCAAGUUGAUAUAUUGGAUCGAUUGCGAUUUCCAUUUGGGUUAGUUUGUCCUGGUGUUUUUCCUGAUCAUCCUAAAACUAACAUUGCAAUUCAAGGGAGUAUUCAAAGACCUUCAGGCACUGUUGGACAUUCUGCACCAUUGUUGUCAAGAAGUUCUGAGAAUUCUGCUGCUGGUAAAUUCUCUUUGCCUAAGAUAUAGCAUCCCCAUUACCUACUCCUCCUCGAAUAGGUUACUACUCCAUGCCCCUAAGUGGUGCUUCUGGAACAGAAAGAAAAUCACCACCUUCCAAACUUCACCUGGCUCAGAGAAGUCGGGUGAUAUUUUCUCACCUCCUUUGACACCAGUGAUGUUAGAAAAUCAGCAUCCAACAAAAAGUUGAUUUGGACCAUCUUGUAGGCUGCUUUACCAGAGAAGUAGCUAGAGGAAGAGGAGAAACUCUCGAAACAGCAAGUUGAGACUCUGAAUGCCCAUUAUCAGAAGUUAGAGAUGGUGGUGAAUUUUCUGGAACCAAUUUGAUGAAGCUCAUAAACUUGUAAGGAGGUGAUGAACAUCUCCAACCAGCAUCCAGUCACCAUCCUUGUCUUCGUAAGUGGGUGCAACAUCAGAUCCAUUAUAUCCGUCUCUUUCGGAGUAUUGUACGAUACAUUUCUUGAACAUACUUUCCAUAGCCUUUAACAGCUCUGGAUAACUCUGGGGUACAUCUUCUGAUGCUUCUGUUUUUUCUGUCCCUGCUGGUUUGCUAUGGUCUGUCUUUCUGCUGGCCUGCUGUGUAGCUGUUCUGCGUUCCUGAGCUUAGUUCUGAUGUGGUGGCUACUGUGCUUUGCUCUGGUGCAGUUUGUGUUUCUGUGACCCUGGGACUGUUCUGCUAUGGUUCAGAUUGCUAUGAUGCUGUUUGCGUUUGGUGUGACUGCUGUUCUUCAAGGACCUACUAGUGCCUGCUCUGCACUGGUUGGGCUGCUGGUUUGGGUGCUGUACAGUAGUGGUGUGGUUUGGUGUUGAUGUUUUGCUGGGCUGCGAGGUUAUAAUAUUAUUUAAUUCUUUUUGGACGAAAAUUGUAAUAAUACAGCAUUUUUUAAUGAAAAUAUGUAACUUUUUAUAUAUGUUAAUGUUUCUAUAUCAAUUUAAGUGAAAAAAAUGCAAAUUUUUUUUUUUUUUUUUCAUUUUUUUUGGGGUAUUUCUGGCACCGGUUCCGGUGCCAAAAGUUUUUUAAAAUUUUUUUUUUUGAGACUAUUUGCACCGAUUUAAGCAAGAACCGGUGCCUAAAGUUAGGUUUUUU